ensembl:lncRNA
AUACUGGAGUGGGUUGCCAUUUUCUUCUCCAGGGGAUCUUUCCAACCCAGGGAUCGAACCCGGUCUCCUGCAUUGUAGGCGGAUGCUUUACCAUCUGAGCUACUAGGGAAGCAUCCUGGGUUAACAUCAGACAAACUAAAAUUGAAGGACAGACUACAAAGUAAUGGGCCUGAUUCUUUUUUUAAGAGUAAUCACUAGACUUUAUUUGAACAACUGGGAAAAUAUUUCCUUAAUCUGUUUAUAAGUGGGAAGGGAUGCAUGGUAUUGGAAGCACACGAAGGAAAGAGGGAGGGGAGAGGGGAAAGAAAGUUGGAAAGAAAAGAAGCAAAAAUGCGGGGAAAGAAAUACUGCAUUGAAUGAACCACAGACCAGAGUACCUUUCAUCUUACGUACCCUUAAUACAUUCAUGAAACUUCCAGAGAUAUUUCCAUUAGUUAAAUGGGAAACUUCCACAAAGUUGUGUCUGACUCUUGGGACUCUAUGGACUAUAGCUGCCAGGCUCCUCUACCCAUGGAUUUUCUAGGCUAGAAUACUGGAGUGGGUUGCCAUUUCCUUCUCCAUGGGCCUGAUUUUUAAAAACAUGUUUAUGUUGUGGAUCUUCUCUGUUGGUCCAAUGGUUAAGACUCCAUGCUCCCAAUGAGGGGGGUUGGGUUUGAUCCUUGGUCAGGGAACUAGAUCCCACAUACUGCAAUUAAGACCUGGCUUAGUCCAAAAAAAUAAAGUCUAAGUCACGAAAGACAAAGAUUAGGGAACUGUUCCAGAGUAAAGAGGAAUAAAGAGACAUGACAACUCCAAUGAAAAGGUGUAACUUUGAAGUGGGAAAAAUGUUGCAUAAAGGAUGUUAUUGGAACAAUUGGCAAAAUGUGAAUAUGGACUCGGUCGUAGAUGUUAGCAUUGGAUCUAUGUUAAUUUUCUGAACUUAAUCAUCGUAGGUUGGUUACCUAAGAGAGCCUUCUCGUUCUUAGGAAAUAAUCCCUAAAGUAUUUGUGGGUGAAGAGUCAAGAUUUCUGCAACUUAAUCUCAAAAGGUUCGGGGAAGAAAAAAAAGUCUCUGUUUUGCUUUGUACCAUUGAACUGGAUAUGCUACAAUUUACACUAUAUGUUCUCUAUUGUUGAACAUUAAAUUUUCCAAUUUAAAAAAUCAUUCUUACAAACAAUGAUGCUAUCAACAUCUUUACGAAUAGAAGUUCUUUCUUUUGUCACC